AUGGAUGAUAAUCCACAGCCCGCAUUAGAGGGAAGGUCAGACAAGAUACUGGCUCCUCUACUCUUAAAAUGCAUGCAUUCCCGCCCCCGCCCCCCCCCCCAGUAUUUUAUGCGCACCUGUGAUUUGCAUUGCCAUUCUGGUUUUGYAUCUUUAGCAACUUUGACUUUUUAUAGGAUGAAUUCCUUUAUCUCUAGGGCAGGCUUUCUAAUAUUUUACUGGCAACCAUGCCGUGAAUAUCUGACAGCAAAAACACUCCAGGUGCCGGCCGGCGGGGAAGCCUCUCCGGAGCCAGCAGCGCAGGGCUCUCGGUGCAGGGGAAUGUCCCUGCCGCCCCUUCCUGCGGAUUUAGGUGUCCCCCUUCCCGGUGCUCCUGCCCCGUGGCCCCCGCGCGGGGUCUCUCCCCCCACGCCGCCCCGGGAGCGUUUCCGCGGGGCAGAGCCUCCUGCUCUGGGCUUGCCGGUUCCUCUCGCCGUGCGCGGCCCGGGCGAGCCCGGCGCGGCUCARCACCCGCCGGGGCCGCCGACAGCGGGCGGGCACCGGCCGGGCAGGUCCGGGGUUCGGGCUCUGCCCCGGGGCGUCGCGGUCCCCGCGCCCGGUGCUCGGCGCUGCGUGUCCAAGCAUCAAAUUCCGGACCCGGGGAAGGCGGAGCGGAGGUGGGAAACGCUUCGCGGAUACACGAAGCGCUGUUUGCGGGAGGCCCGCGGGGAUGGGAGAGCGGGGGCGGGGAGAAGCACCCGCUCGGACGACGGCGAGGGAUCGGGGGGCCCCGGGGGCAGCCCGGAGGAGGAAGGUGGAGGGGAGAGUUUGCUACAGAGGCGAAGCUGGAGCGGACCCGGGCAGAGACCCGGGACCUGCCCCGAGUCUGUGCAGCGCCGCGACUUCGCAGCGGUCCCGACGUCGGGGGGAGCUGCAGCGGGAAGCGUGGGGCUAGGAGGGCCGGGGGCGCCUGCCGUGCGCCGGGGGCAGGAAGAGGCCCCACCUCGGCAAACGCGGGGCAAAUGGGAGGGCCCGGGGGCGCGGUCCCGCCGCGGGAGGAAACGUCCCGCGGGCACGGCGGGAGCGGGCGGAAAACGAAACGGGGGCGAGAAAGUGGGUCAGGGCCGAAGCCCGGCGCGGUCGGGGCCGGCGGCGGCGCAGGGGCUGCGCGGCGCUGCGCGGCGCUCACACCUGCAUUGCAGCACUGGCGGAGCGGCGGUGCGCUCCCGGGCCCUCCGCGCUCGGCUCCGCGCAGCGCUGCAAUGCAGCACUGCGGGAACCCCCCGCCCCCCCUCCCCGCGCCCUUCGCCUCCCUCUGCCGGCUCUCGGCUCCGGAGCCCCAGCCCGGGGCACGGGCGCCGGCCCCGCCGUGCACAGCUCCCGCUCGCACGGGGAUCUUCCAGCGGCGCCGCCGCGGCGCUCGGGUCUCCCGCUCCGUGCAGAGCUGAGCCUCCCCCCGCCCCGGCUGCGGCUGCCGUGGGGCGGGGGAACACGGGCCGCCUCCCGCUGUGUCCCCUGCACGGCGCGGGCAGGCGGGAAGGGCUCGGACUGGUGCCUGUUAAAUAA
rnacentral:lncRNA from 1 species